UAGGGAAUCUUCGGCAAUGGACGAAAGUCUGACCGAGCAACGCCGCGUGAGUGAAGAAGGUUUUCGGAUCGUAAAACUCUGUUGUUAGAGAAGAACAAGGACGUUAGUAACUGAACGUCCCCUGACGGUAUCUAACCAGAAAGCCACGGCUAACUACGUGCCAGCAGCCGCGGUAAUACGUAGGUGGCAAGCGUUGUCCGGAUUUAUUGGGCGUAAAGCGAGCGCAGGCGGUUUCUUAAGUCUGAUGUGAAAGCCCCCGGCUCAACCGGGGAGGGUCAUUGGAAACUGUGAGACUUGAGUGCAGACGAGGAGAGUGGAAUUCCAUGUGUAGCGGUGAAAUGCGUAGAUAUAUGGAGGAACACCAGUGGCGAAGGCGGCUCUCUGGUCUGUAACUGACGCUGAGGCUCGAAAGCGUGGGGAGCAAACAGG
rnacentral:rRNA from 1 species